UACGUAGGGUGCAAGCGUUAAUCGGAAUUACUGGGCGUAAAGCGUGCGCAGGCGGCUUUGCAAGACAGAUGUGAAAUCCCCGGGCUCAACCUGGGAACUGCAUUUGUGACUGCAAGGCUAGAGUACGGUAGAGGGGGAUGGAAUUCCGCGUGUAGCAGUGAAAUGCGUAGAGAUGCGGAGGAACACCGAUGGCGAAGGCAGCCCCCUGGGCUAGCACUGACGCUCAGGCACGAAAGCGUGGGUAGCAAACAGG
rnacentral:rRNA from 1 species